rnacentral:rRNA from 1 species
CGCACGGGUGAGUAACACGUGGGUACCUGUCCUUGAGUUCGGGAUACCCUUUCGAAAGGAAGGCUAAUAUCCGGAUAUCGUUCCUCGGGUUGCGAAAUCUGGGUGACGGGAAAGGUGGCGAAAGCUACCGCUCUUGGGAGGGGCUCGCGGCUAUCAGCUAGUUGGUGAGGUAAGCGGCUCACCAAGGGCUAUGACGGGUAGCUGGUCUGAGAGGACGACCAGCCACAUCUGGGAACCUGAGACAGGGUCCCGAUUCAUACGGGAGGCAGCAGUGGGGAAUUUUCCGCAAUGGGCGAAAGCCUGACGGAGUGACGCCGCGUGGGGGACGAAGGCCUUCGGGUUGUAAACCCCUGUCAGAGGGAAAGAAGGGUCGCCUGGCUAAUAUCCGGGUGAUCUGACGGUACCUUCAGAGGAAGCCCCGGUCAACUCUGUGCCAGCAGCCGC